GUCAGGGUGGCCGAGCGGUCUAAGGCGCUGCGUUCAGGUCGCAGUCCACUCUGUGGGCGUGGGUUCGAAUCCCACCUCUGACA
rnacentral:tRNA from 3 species